UACGUAGGGAGCGAGCGUUGUCCGGAAUUACUGGGCGUAAAGAGCUCGUAGGCGGGACCGUAAGUCCGAGAGGAAAUCUCAAGGCUCAACUUUGGGGCUUUCUUGGAUACUGCGGUUCUUGAGGAUGAGAGAGGUAAGUAGAAUUCCCGGUGUAGCGGUGAAAUGCGUAGAUAUCGGGAGGAAUACCAGUGGCGAAGGCGGCUUACUGGCUCAUUCCUGACGCUGAGGAGCGAAAGCGUGGGGAGCAAACGGGG
rnacentral:rRNA from 1 species